UCCGCCAAGACUGACUGACGGCCUUUGGGGUGAGGUAGUAGGUUGUAUGGUUUUGGGCUCUGCCCCGCUCUGCGGUAACUAUACAAUCUACUGUCUUUCCUGAAGUGGCCGCAAUAUCUGCAGUGGAUA
rnacentral:precursor_RNA from 14 species